UACGAAGGGGGCUAGCGUUGCUCGGAAUCACUGGGCGUAAAGCGCACGUAGGCGGCUUUUUAAGUCAGGGGUGAAAUCCUGGAGCUCAACUCCAGAACUGCCUUUGAUACUGAGAAGCUUGAGUCCGGGAGAGGUGAGUGGAACUGCGAGUGUAGAGGUGAAAUUCGUAGAUAUUCGCAAAGAACACCAGUGGCGAAGGCGGCUCACUGGCCCGGAUACUGACGCUGAGGCACGAAAGCGUGGGGA
rnacentral:rRNA from 1 species